UCAGGACGAACGCUGGCGGCGUGCUUCAUACAUGCAAGUCGAACGAGAAGCUGACUUCGGUCAGUGGAAAGUGGCGGACGGGUGAGUAAUAUGUAGAGAAUCUGCCCUUGAGUGGGGGACAACAGAGGGAAACUUCUGCUAAUACCCCAUAUGAGCUAACUUGAAAUAGUUAUCUUGAAAAACUCCGGUGCUCAAGGAUGAGUCUGCAUCUGAUUAGCUAGUUGGCGGUGUAAUGGACCACCAAGGCGACGAUCAGUAGCUGGUUUGAGAGGAUGAUCAGCCACAAUGGGACUGAGACACGGCCCAUACUCCUACGGGAGGCAGCAGUAGGGAAUUUUGCGCAAUGGGCGAAAGCCUGAACCGCAGCAACGCCGCGUGAACGAUUAAGCCCUUCGGGGUGUAAAGUUCUGUCAGUAGGGACGAAUUUUGACGGUACCUACAGAGGAAGCACCGGCUAACUCCGUGCCAGCAGCUGC
rnacentral:rRNA from 1 species